UAUUGCCACAGAAUGUAGAGGGUUUGGGAGGGAAAGCAAAAUUUGUUGAAAGGAAAGGCAAACGUGUGUGAGAGAGAGAGAGAGAGAGAGAGAGAGAGAGAGAGAGAGAGA